rnacentral:rRNA from 1 species
UGGGGAAUAUUGCACAAUGGGCGCAAGCCUGAUGCAGCCAUGCCGCGUGUAUGAAGAAGGCCUUCGGGUUGUAAAGUACUUUCAGCGGGGAGGAAGGGAGUAAAGUUAAUACCUUUGCUCAUUGACGUUACCCGCAGAAGAAGCACCGGCUAACUCCGUGCCAGCAGCCGCGGUAAUACGGAGGGUGAAAGCGUUAAUCGGAAUUACUGGGCGUAAAGCGCACGCAGGCGGUUUGUUAAGUCAGAUGUGAAAUCCCCGGGCUCAACCUGGGAACUGCAUCUGAUACUGGCAAGCUUGAGUCUCGUAGAGGGGGGUAGAAUUCCAGGUGUAGCGGUGAAAUGCGUAGAGAUCUGGAGGAAUACCGGUGGCGAAGGCGGCCCCCUGGACGAAGACUGACGCUCAGGUGCGAAAGCGUGGGGAGCAAACAGG